ACAAUGAAAACUAACGAUUCUGAGAUUAAAUGACUUUUUUUUACUAUUUUAUAUUUUAUAUAUUUGAUUAUAUUUGUUUGAUAUUAAGUUUUAUAUCUUAUUUAUUUUUAAAAUAAGUUUUAAGAAAAUUGUUUUAUAUAUUUUAUUUUUAAUUUUCAACUUUAGGAUUUUUUACCUAAUUAACCCACAUUUUCGAAGAAAUUCCCAAAAUAACCCAGUUUUCAAAAAAAUUCUCAAUAUACCCUACUUUUAGAGGGAGGCGCCAAUUGGAU
rnacentral:lncRNA from 1 species